GUUAUAACUACCUUUCCUAAAAAAAACUCUCAAAGCUUCUGGAAUACAUUUCAUAUAUACAUGUGUGUGUGUGUGUGUGUGUACGUGU